rnacentral:rRNA from 1 species
AGUGAACGCUGGCGGUAGGCCUAACACAUGCAAGUCGAACGGCAGCACCGUAAGAGCUUGCUCUUACGGGUGGCGAGUGGCGGAAGGGUGAGGAAUACAUCGGAAUCUACUUUUUCGUGGGGGCUAACGUAGGGAAACUUACGCUAAUACCGCAUACGACCUACGGGUGAAAGCAGGGGAUCUUCGGACCUUGCGCGAUUGAAUGAGCCGAUGUCGGAUUAGCUCGUUUGCGGGGUAAAGGCCCAACAAGGCGACGAUCCGUAGCUGGUCUGAGAGGAUGAUCAGCCACACUGGAAGUGAGACACGUUCCAGACUCCGACGGUGAGAAGCAGUGGAGAAUAUUAGGCGAUGGAGGCAAGCCUGAUCCAGGCAUACCGCGUGGGGGAAGAAGGCCUUCGGGUUGUAGAGCCCUGUUGUUGGGAAAGAAGUGCAGCAGGUUAAUACCCCGCUGUUCUGACGGUACCCAAAGAAUAAGCACCGGCUAACUUCGUG